ensembl:lncRNA
ACAGUGACUCCGCCAGCUCCUUUGGCAGCCUGUGCCACUGCAUCACCACUCUUUCAAAGCAGAAAUUCUUCCUAAGCUCAUACAGACUUGGAGCAGCUUAGAUCCCACAGCAUUUGGUUCCCUGAGCAGAAAAGCAGCUUCCAUGCAGGGCAAAGGCUUCUCACAGCCCUUUAGGCUCUUUCGCAGUGGGCUGGUUGGACUGCAUCUGGCUGUGCACUUUCAGAGCCGGCCUUGAGCACAGACAGACAAAUCCGUGGGGAGGAGAAAGAAGCUGCAGGGCUCGUUGGGGCACUUAGGGCAGCUCAGACAUUCCAGGGAUGAUAUUUUCCUGGAAGCAAAGUACUUCAGUGCUGUGUACCUUAGUACUAUAUUCCCUGUGGAUCUAGGGCCACUCUGUGCUGUGCCAGUUUAUCUGAAGUGGACUGAAUGAAAAUAGAUGGAUAUACACUGGAUAUAUACUGGAUAAAAACGUUGUUGUGAUAGCUGCCAGUUCAGCAGUCACUUACUGAAUUUCUGGAGAUCUGGACAACUAUGUUAAGUGCUUAUGCAAGGACAUGUCACAGACAGAGCUCUGUGCAUCUGGACGAUCUCCCAGAUGUGUACCAUAUAGAUUUUGCGGGUGUGUGGGCCCUUGUUGCAGAACGCUACGGUGCAAAUUCACCUUAACAGAUUUCCCAAUAAGUUCUCUGGGUAAACAUUCCUGCUGUGGCUUUCACUAUCUGGACUUUUCCAUGCAGCUCUGGAAUGUGUUUGGUGACCUGGAUAACACAGGCAAAGUGCUUUUGCUUUCAGACGGGGAAAGACUGUGUUUGAGACGUUCCACGUUUGUUAACUCCCAUAUCCUCUUGGCUCUGUGUUCUCCAUCUCCUCGUAGACCAGAAACAAAGCCUCCAUUUUCGUCUGUUCUUUUUCAGGUAGCUGCUAGAUUUGCAAGUGAGUAAGGGCAAGUUUUAUGAAUAGCCGUAGAGUAACUUGCAUUGGUUUUUUGGAAGUGCUUAAAAAAAAAACAUACAACCCACAUUUGCAAAAGCUAUUGCAUAUUUUAUUACCAGUACAAGUGUGGAUCAGGCUGUAUGUAGAUGUACCGUUCCACACACAUACCAUUCUGGAAUGUGAACACAAAAACGUGUCGGUGCAGACACUUUUACUUAGACCAAGAUGAAGAGUUACAAAACGCCAUGUGGCAGAACAGUAUAAUUUUUUCUCUCAUUCUUUUAUCACUGCCUUUUAAUGAAUAUCAGUAGUCCCAUUUCUCUUUCAGCUAGGGUGGUUCAAGCAUUGCUACAUAUCGGGAUAUUUAAAUGGAUGUUUUGGGCUUGAGUGAUUAAUUUGCAAGAUGCUGCGUGAUUUGAAGCAUUAGAAUUGCAUCAUUUACAGCUCUGUGUCAGCCAGAAUGCCUGCCUGCUCCAUGCAGGGCUGAGGGCAAGGCAGAUGUCUCUACUGUCUGUGAUUUCAUCUGUCUCUGUCCAAUGGUUCUUGUGCUACUGUUAUGGAAAACAAAGGAAGACAAAAAAUAGACUGCACAUCUGGCACUGUGAAGUUUUGCAGUCUGAGAAUUGCACAGUGUCUACUAAGAAGGGUACCUGUAAGAAGAAAAACUUCACGAUCACUUUUUGCACAUACAGCCUGUAAACUCCUUUCCAGUUUCUUAAACAGAAAAUCUCCAAAGUAAAGUUAUUCUACAUACACUAAAUGAAGCCUUUCUUCUGAUGCAGAAGAUCAUCCCUUUGAGCAACCCUUGCCUGGGCUUCCCACGUGCUGUCUGCCUGGGAGACAGAGUACACAGGCAGAAGUGGACCUCACCUUGCCAAAGUACCUUGCUCAAGAACACAGCUUGGCUACAUUCAUCACAACGAAGAUAUUAUCAAUGUGUUUAUAGCUUUCUGACUUUGAACCUGUAGACUAUAACUACUUCUUCCUGUACAGACCAAACUGUGUGUCAGGUGAGAGAGAAAAGGUGGGAAGAAUCAUAUUGUGGAGCAGCCUGUCUUAGUAAUAAUGGGGGAGGUUAGGACAACUAUUAUGUUAAGGGGGUGUCUCAGUUAAGCAUCUUAAUGGCUUUUUUGACUUAUUCUUCACCAACAUGUGCUCUAGCCAUGCUGCCCAAGCUGCAGAAAGCAAAGCCUAGGACUGAAAGAAUGAAGAACCCUCCAGUGUAGAAGACCAUAGUUGAGACCAUCUAAGGAACUUGAAGGUGCACGAGUCCAUGGGACCUGAUGAGAUGUGUCUGUGAAUCCUGAGGCAACUAGUGGAUCAAGUUGCUAAGCCACUAUCCAUCCUAUUUGAGACACUGGCAUAAUCCUCAUUUUUAAAAAUGGAAAAAAGUAAGAUGUGGGGAACUACAGGCCAGUCAUUCUCACCUUUGUGCCCAGCAGAUCAGGUAACAUAGAGAAGAUCAUCUCAUCAUCAGAGAACAGCGAGGUGAUUGGUGAGAGCCAGCAUGGCUUCACUAAAGGCAAAUUAUGCCUGAAAAGUUUGGUGGCCUUCUAUGGCAGGGUUACAUCAAUGGUGGAUAAGGGAAGAGCAAGUGAUGUCAUCUGCCUGGACUUGUGCAAAGCAUUUGACACUGUCCAGCACAGCCUCCUAGUCUCUAAACUGGAGAGAAAUGGGUUUGAGUGAUGGACCACACAAUGGAUAAGGAAUUGGUCACCCUUGAAGGCUUGUGGACAACAGCUCGAUGUUUAAGGUCUCUUCCAAUCCAAACUAUUCUAUGAUUUAUGGUUUCAAAUGCAAUAAAUUAAUAAAUGC